rnacentral:rRNA from 1 species
AAACCGCCUAGAGGUAAACGGGUGGAUCCGCAAAUUCGGCCCGCGGAAUUCAGCUCGGAAGGUCGUGCGCCCCCGGGUGGGUCGGGGAUCNUUAUCGACCCUCCUACCUCGGGACCGCGCGUCGACCGUGUGCACUUUCCGCGGGCAGAGCGCCACGACCGGUUCUCGGGCGGUCAGAAGGCGGCGGGGAUGGUAGGCGUGCGCUUCGGCGUGCGCUGGUAUAGCCCCGCCUGUCCCGAUCCGCUUGGGGACCGAGGAGCCGCCGUCGGCGUAGGCCGCCUUGCCCUCCUGGGAGGUUCGACUGGCAGAGACUGGGCAACCGUGUCUGCCGACCGCCUUCUCGGACGGAUGGGGUGGGCCCGCCGGCACAGGGUCGGUGGCGAAUCGGUCGGACCUCCACCCGACCCGUCUUGAA